UCGUGUGUUUAUUACUUACUUUCACCCAUUAUUUAUUUAAACGAAGUAGCUUAUGUUUGACCUCGGGUGUUAACCAUUUCUGGGUAUGGCUAAUUUUAUCAAAAUCGGCCCAGCAGCUGUUUGGCCGUGAAACCAAGACAGACUUUCACAUUUGUAAAUAUAAACGUAAUUGGCAUGGAGAGACGUUUACUUGGAAAAAAAAGAAAGAAAGAAAGAAAAUAUUUAUUUGCCAAAAACACGAGUUAAAAUAUACAAAUUGAUGUCAAAAUGAAUUAAACCUACAUGUUUUACCGAAUAUAGGUAUGCAAAUAUAAAUAAAUAAAGAGGAGCACGCUAUCCACUACAAAUCCAAAACAAAAAAAGAAUUAUAAUGUAUACUAGCACUAAAUUCUAUCCGAGUCUAUCAUUAAAGAAAUCAUUUAAAGUAUAAUAACAUUUAUGACUUAAUAAAGACUUGAGUUGCUUUUUAAAUAGAUUUAAAUUUAAGCUUUUAUAUUGAUUUGGAAUGUUGUUGUAAAUUUUCGGUGCCAUACAUACUAUGCUAUUACCGAGAAAGCAGUUUUUGAUGGGUGCAUGCAUAAUCGAUAGAUAUCUCGAUGAUUCCUCAAUACAACAUCAGCUAGAUGAGGGAAUGAAUGAGCAUUGGUUUUCACAAAUGUUGUUACCUCAAGAAUGUAAAGUGACGGAAGUGUAAGAAUUUUGUGUUCUUUAAAAAACGGCUGACGUUGGACGUUGUUUUGUUUUGUUGGACAUCUAGUGCUUUUAGAGCACGUCCAUUAAAAACAAAAUCAUUUAAGUAGCAGCGAACCAUCAAAAUAAUAUACCUAACAGCGAAUGCAUGACUUGCACUUUGAAUGACUCAUAGUUUUGUUUCCUCAAACCUAAGAAAAUGCAUAAAAUAGAGUAACUGUCUUAAUAAAGUGACGUCAGACGCCUUUCGGAGACCUUAUAAUAGCUGACACUGUAAUCAAUAAAUUAAUGAAUAGAGGAAUCUCCCGCAUUUCAAGUUCAGCGGGUCAAGAGGCCAGCAAAUUAUGAAUUAUCUAAGCAUAUCAUGGAUUGACAGAGAGCGGCAAGCUGCAAGGGGUGAAUUUCACGAGCGUUUUGAACGCCGCCGUGGGCUGUCAUUAGUGUUUAUUAAAUUGUACCAUACACAGUAAUCAAUUUAAUUAUCCUAUUUUAUAAAUAAGUAAAGUACUAGUACAAUGUUAUAUGUUUAUAAAUGUUUAAUUUUUAAAAAUGAUUCUUUAUUUCUUUAUCAGACAGAAUAAUUAUUAUCAUUAAACAUUACCAUAACUAAACAACCUCGUAUAGUCGUAUACAAAAAAACCUUUUUAAGAUUUCCAAGAGACGACUCUACUUUUUGUUAUCGUCAUUAUUCGAAGUAAUUUAAUAAAAUAUAUAUCUAUUUAUAAUCAUCAAAUAAUUAUAUUAUUAUUAUUGUGUGUUUA